AUACGGAGGAUGCGAGCGUUAUCCGGAUUUAUUGGGUUUAAAGGGAGCGUAGGUGGGAUAUUAAGUCAGCUGUGAAAGUUUGGGGCUCAACCUUAAAAUUGCAGUUGAUACUGGUUUCCUUGAGUACGGUACAGGUGGGCGGAAUUCGUGGUGUAGCGGUGAAAUGCUUAGAUAUCACGAAGAACUCCGAUCGCGAAGGCAGCUCACCGGGCCGGAACUGACACUGAUGCUCGAAAGUGCGGGUAUCAAACAGGAUUAGAUACCCUGGUAGUCCGCACAGUAAACGAUGAAUACUCGCUGUUUGCGAUACACGGUAAGCGGCCAAGCGAAAGCGUUAAGUACUCCACCUGGGGAGUACGCCGGCAACGGUGAAACUUAAAGGAAUUGACGGGG
rnacentral:rRNA from 1 species